GUGACUGUAUUAUUAACUUAAAGUUGCUUUCAAUAUGCAAUGUUACCAAAAAUAAGGCAUAACUUAAUGAACAAUAUGAAUUGGACAAAACUGUCAUCGACAAUAUUUAUUGAACGUUCCCUUUAUUAGGGACCAUUGAAAAGGAAGCACAUCAACUCAUUCAUGAUGUUUAGUAAACAUUAUUUACUUUAUUUUUAAAAUUAUUUUGGCUAUUUCUUUGCUUUCUUUUUGUUUUCCCAUAAUCGCUUCAUCUAAUUUUAUAUUAAUGUGAUUAUUCUUCCAUUUCUAUUUACGUCCUAUCAAUUGUUAACCACUUUGGAAUAGCUGAAGUCCUGAUAUUAAUUUAAAGAUGGUCAAAGACAAGACACUCAUGAAAAGUUCAAUUAGAAGAAAUCGAAAUCUAUCGAAAAAUCUGAUGGCUAUGAAAUUCAUGCAACGAACAAAAAUAAAGAAUGAAGGAGAAGCUAAUGAUGUCGAGAUUGGUGAUGCAAAGUUCGAGAGUCGAGGUGAAGACAAUUAUGUGAUAGAAGAAAGCUUCGAGAUAAUUGAAAACUUGCGCUUUGGAAGGAUGUCUUUCAAAUAUUAAUUAAACAAAUCUAUAGGAUCUUUUGUUCUCAUA